UAUAUUUUAAGCUUUUUAUAUACUUGUCACUAAAAAGAAAGGAGGGAAAUAUUCAGGCUCCUAUUUUUCAGUUCAGUUCUAAAUUUUGGAGUAAAAUCAGCUUAAUCCGGUUUACAUUUUAAACAAAAUUUCUUCACUAUGGGCCCAUUGUUCACCUACUUCAUGUUCUACUUUAAUACUGCUGCCCGUUGCCUUGCCCACAGAAACCUGACCGACCAAAGCGACCACCGACCGACUACCGAAAGGGAAACGAACUCAUUGAAAUUCUUGACAAGUUACGCGCGCGCGAAUUGGAUAAAAUAUUAAAAGAACGCAUAAGAGCGAGACGAUAGAUUAGAGCACAAAAACAAAAAGGAAACGUCAGAGUUGGGAGUGCGCAUCUAUUAGAAUUGCUCCGGUCGAACUGUGGUGUCGACCCCAUGUUGUGUUCUACGUAUUUUUUCCGACUUGUCAAAUAAUGCACGCCGCACGCCCGCCCACACGUAGCAUGUAGAAGCCGGAGUUUUUCUAGCCGUUUAUCGGCUUGCCUUUCACGCGUCCAUUAAGGCGCCGCCAAGUGGAAAAUUCGCUAAAUAAUAUAAUAUAAUAAUCCGCAGCCUAGCAAAAGCCCAGCAAAACGACGGCGCCCAGUGGGCGAGCAAUAAUACUGCUGUCAGCAUAAAAGUUGUAAUUAGAAAAAAAUAUAUACUAUAGACUUAA